AUUGAACGCUGGCGGCAUGCCUUACACAUGCAAGUCGAACGGCAGCGGACCUUCGGGUGCCGGCGAGUGGCGAACGGGUGAGUAAUGCAUCGGAACGUACCUUUCAGUGGGGGAUAACGUAGCGAAAGUUACGCUAAUACCGCAUAUUCUGUGAGCAGGAAAGCAGGGGAUCGCAAGACCUUGCGCUGAUUGAGCGGCCGAUAUCAGAUUAGCUAGUUGGUGAGGUAAAGGCUCACCAAGGCGACGAUCUGUAGCGGGUCUGAGAGGAUGAUCCGCCACACUGGAACUGAGACACGGUCCAGACUCCUACGGGAGGCAGCAGUGGGGAAUUUUGGACAAUGGGGGCAACCCUGAUCCAGCCAUGCCGCGUGAGUGAAGAAGGCCUUCGGGUUGUAAAGCUCUUUCGGCCGGGAAGAAAUCGUAUGGGUUAAUACCCUGUGCGGAUGACGGUACCGGCAUAAGAAGCACCGGCUAACUACGUGCCAGCCGCCGCUGUAACAC
rnacentral:rRNA from 1 species